CGCCUCUUGAAACUACAUAAGAGGUCCAGCCUGCCCAGUGACUAAGUUCAACGGCCGCGGUAUCCUAACCGUGCGAAGGUAGCGUAAUCACUUGUUCUUUAAAUGAGGACUAGUAUGAAUGGCACCACGAGGGUUAUGCUGUCUCCUUUUUCUAAUCAAUGAAACUGAUCCCCCCGUGAAGAAGCGGGGAUAUAUUUAUAAGACGAGAAGACCCUAUGGAGCUUUAAACCAUGUAACACUGGCUUUCACAUUAAAAUAUUCCAGAAUUUUCAUAGUUACUCUAGCCAUUAUGAUUACUAGUUUUAGGUUGGGGUGACCACGGAGCAAAAAUUAACCUCCAUGUUGAAAGGAGCUACUCCUGAGCCAAAAGCCACGACUUUAAGCACUAAUAAAUUAACAUUAAUUGACCCAAUAUUUUUGAUCAACGAACCAAGUUACCCUAGGGAUAACAGCGCA
rnacentral:rRNA from 1 species